rnacentral:rRNA from 1 species
UCCUACGGGGCGCAGCAGUGGGGAAUAUUGCACAAUGGGGGGAACCCUGAUGCAGCGACGCCGCGUGAAGGAAGAAGUAUUUCGGUAUGUAAACUUCUAUCAGCAGGGAAGAAAAUGACGGUACCUGACUAAGAAGCCCCGGCUAACUACGUGCCAGCAGCCGCGGUAAUACGUAGGGGGCAAGCGUUAUCCGGAUUUACUGGGUGUAAAGGGAGCGUAGACGGCAGGGCAAGUCUGGAGUGAAAGGCAGGGGCCCAACCCCUGGACUGCUCUGGAAACUGUCCGGCUGGAGUUCUGGAGAGGUA